CAGCAGCCGCGGGAAUACAGAGGGUGCGAGCGUUAAUCGGAUUUACUGGGCGUAAAGCGUGCGUAGGUGGUGGUUUAAGUCCGUUGUGAAAGCCCUGGGCUCAACCUGGGAAUUGCAGUGGAUACUGGGUCACUAGAGUGUGGUAGAGGAUAGUGGAAUUUCCGGUGUAGCAGUGAAAUGCGUAGAGAUCGGAAGGAACAUCUGUGGCGAAGGCGACUAUCUGGGCCAACACUGACACUGAGGCACGAAAGCGUGGGGAGCAAACAGGAUUAGAUACCCCGGUAGUCCCUGUCUCUUAUAC
rnacentral:rRNA from 1 species